rnacentral:rRNA from 1 species
UACGUAGGGUGCGAGCGUUGUCCGGAAUUAUUGGGCGUAAAGAGCUCGUAGGCGGUUUGUCGCGUCUGCCGUGAAAGUCCGGGGCUCAACUCCGGAUCUGCGGUGGGUACGGGCAGACUAGAGUGAUGUAGGGGAGACUGGAAUUCCUGGUGUAGCGGUGUAGAUGCGCAGAUAUCAGGAGGAACACCGAUGGCGAAGGCAGGUCUCUGGGCAUUAACUGACGCUGAGGAGCGAAAGCAUGGGGAGCGAACAGG